rnacentral:rRNA from 1 species
AGAACGAACGCUGGCGGCAUGCCUAAUACAUGCAAGUCGAACGAACUCUUCGGAGUUAGUGGCGCACGGGUGCGUAACGCGUGGGAAUCUGCCCUUGGGUUCGGAAUAACAGUUGGAAACGACUGCUAAUACCGGAUGAUGACGAAAGUCCAAAGAUUUAUCGCCCAGGGAUGAGCCCGCGUAGGAUUAGCUAGUUGGUGAGGUAAAGGCUCACCAAGGCGACGAUCCUUAGCUGGUCUGAGAGGAUGAUCAGCCACACUGGGACUGAGACACGGCCCAGACUCCUAGGGAGGCAGCAGUAGGGAAUAUGGACAAUGGGCGAAAGCCUGAUCCAGCAAAUGCCGCGUGAGUGAUGAAGGCCUUAGGUUGUAAAGCUCUUUUACCCGAGAUGAUAAUGACAGUAUCGGAGAAUAAGCCCCGGCUAACCUCCGUACCAGCAGCCGC